GGGGAAUAUUGCACAAUGGGCGAAAGCCUGAUGCAGCAACGCCGCGUGAGGGAUGAAGGCCUUCGGGUUGUAAACCUCUUUUAGCAGGGAAGAAGCGAAAGUGACGGUACCUGCAGAAAAAGCACCGGCUAACUACGUGCCAGCAGCCGCGGUAAUACGUAGGGUGCAAGCGUUGUCCGGAAUUAUUGGGCGUAAAGAGCUCGUAGGCGGUUUGUCGCGUCUGCUGUGAAAAUCCGAGGCUCAACCUCGGACCUGCAGUGGGUACGGGCAAACUAGAGUGCGGUAGGGGAGAUGGGAAUUCCUGGUGUAGCGGUGGAAUGCGCAGAUAUCAGGAGGAACACCAAUGGCGAAGGCACAUCUCUGGGCCGUAACUGACGCUGAGGAGCGAAAGCGUGGGGAGCGAAC
rnacentral:rRNA from 1 species